rnacentral:lncRNA from 1 species
AGUAUUCUCACUGACAAUAUUUUUGAGUGAACCAAGAUCAGUUGUUAAUAGAGCUGUUAACUCACCAACCUACAAGAAGAAAGCUAAAUGAAUUAGUAGGUAGACAUAGGAAGAUAAGUAAACAGAGACACCAAGCAUAUGAGUCUUAUGUAGACAGCCAAACUUGGAAGGCCUAUGGAAGAGCGAGACCAAAUAUACACUGAGUCCUCCACCCUCCUCAACAGCAUCCACACAGGUCAUAAUAUCAUCUACUCAGGGUUAUAUGAUCUCUCUUAUAGCUGAAAAACCUAAUUCAAAGUUAACAUAGGAAGGUCAGUAAACAGAGAUACCAAGCAUAUGUAGACAGCCAAACUUGGAAGGCCUAAGGAAGAGCGAGACCAAAUAUACACCGAGUAGUCCACCCUCCUCAACAGCAUCCACGCAGGUCAUAAUAUCAUCUAAUCAGGGUUAUAUGAUCUCUCUUACAGCUGAAAAAACUAAUUCAAAGUUGCAAACUGACAGUGCUCACAGGCUGCCUCAGAAAUUAUAACACAUACUUGCAUCGAGUACGUUCUACGAGACAUUUAGAAGCUUUAAGCAACCAAAAUGGCAACACGAAACCUUCUAGAUGCAGUAUACUAAUAACAUAAGAACUUCUAGUUUUUUGCAAAAAUAUUGUACAAAAUAACGAAGUCUUUGUUUUUCCCCUUGUUUUCGAAGAAUGUUCUUUUUUUUUUCUUUGAUAAGUUUGUUCGAAGAAGGUUCUUAAGCAACUGGAACAUUUGUAUAUACAUGAAAUGAAAAAUACAGAAAGAAGUACAUAGAGACGCUCAAAUGGAGACUAAUCAAAAACCAGUACAGCCACAGGUGUAAAAAAUUUUCCAGAACAAACGGGCACUUUGCUUCCUUAAUAAUAGAGGAGUCUUCCUUGAAUAAAACUGGGAAAAUGUACAGCAACAUAUAUGAAAGGUAGUGCUCUCAAAAUCUGCAAUUAUUUAGACCAAGAUGGCCAAAAUGAAGGGACCUAAAAAGCAAGCAGUUUUAACCAGCACAUCCUUAGACCUUAGUACAAUUAAAAGUAAAAUCUCUUUGGAAUUCACACAAGCACGCAAGGGCAUGUACGAGCUUGUUAUGACGGAAAAUACAGCAUAACAAAUGAAGUAGCAUACCUUGUAACGGUCAAAAAACUCAACCUGCAAAGAGAAAGAAAGGUAAAGCAUUAAAAAGGACGUGCUGAAUGAGUUCACACAGAAAAUCUUGGCAAACAUUUCCAAAGCAGAUGAAGCCAAAAGGCAAUAUAUAUGUUCUUGUACAUCAAUAACUAUUCAAAAAUCAGUUGACUGAUCUUUUUUGACAGGAAAAUCAGUUAAUUGAUCUUUCCCAUGCUACAAUAAAUCUUGGCAAACAUUUCGAAAGCAGUUGAAGUCAAAAGCAACAUACGUCUUCCUGUGGGUCAAUAACAAACAACAACAACAACAACAACUACCCAGUAUAGUCCCAAAGGGUGGGGUCUGGGGAGGAUAAUAUGUACGCAGGCCUUAC